GUGUGAUCCCAGGCCAGGCGGGGCACCCUGGAAUUUAAGCAUAUCAAUA
rnacentral:rRNA from 11 species